AUGAAACGAGCCCAGGACGCCGAAGACCAGCUGAAGCCGGUGGCCGAAGAGCAGUCUGGCUUAAAACACCAUAUUUCUCAGAUGACGGAAGCCAUCUUUGGUGCCAGGAGUUCCAACCUUGGACAAAAUAUGCUGAUGAAGCUGAAAGCCGUCUAUUCGUUGACGGAAAAACUAUAUGCUGGAAGUCUCCGCACUCUUGUAGCUGCAUCAAACGGCAAGAAACCACCACAACUUGUUAAAGAUGUGCUGGAUCAACUGUCAAAAAUGUCGAAAAAAAUUGAAGAGCUAAAGAUGUCAGGCGCCCAUGCAUGA
rnacentral:rRNA from 1 species